rnacentral:rRNA from 1 species
GACGAACGCUGGCGGCGUGCCUAAUACAUGCAAGUCGAACGAGAGCAACCGGUGCUUGCACUGGGCAAUCUAGUGGCGAACGGGUGAGUAACACGUGGGUAACCUGCCCAUCAGAGGGGGAUAACAUCCGGAAACGGAUGCUAAAACCGCAUAGGUCUUCGAACCGCAUGGUUGGAAGAGGAAAAGAGGCGCAAGCUUCUGCUGAUGGAUGGACUCGGGGUGCAGGAGCGAGUUGGUGAGGUAACGGCUCACCAAGGCUGUGAUGCAUAGACGACCUGAGGGGGUGGUCGGCCGCAUUGGGAGUGAGACACGGCCCAAGCUCCUACGGUAGGCAGCAGUAGCGUAUCUUCCGCAAUAGACGCAAGUAUGACGGAGCAGCGCCGCGUGAGCGAAGACGGUUUUCGGAUCGUAAAACUCUGUUUUUAGAGGAAAACCAGUGCUAGAGUAACUGUUGGCGGCUUGACGGUAUCUAACCAGAAAGCCACGGCUAACUACGUG